rnacentral:rRNA from 1 species
UACGAAGGGGGCUAGCGUUGUUCGGAAUUACUGGGCGUAAAGCGCGCGUAGGCGGUGAUCUUUGUCAGAGGUGAAAUCCCGAGGCUCAACUUCGGAAUUGCCUUUGAAACGGGAUUGCUUGAGUCCGAGAGAGGAUGGCGGAAUUCCGUAGUUGUAGAGGUGAAAUUCGUAGAUAGUUAGAAGGAACACCGGUGGCGAAGGCGGCCAUCUGGCUCGGUACUGACGCUCAGGCGCGAAAGCGUGGG